rnacentral:rRNA from 1 species
GACGAACGCUGGCGGCGUGCUUAACACAUGCAAGUCGAACGGAAAGGCCCCUUUGGGGGUACUCGAGUGGCGAACGGGUGAGUAACACGUGAGUAACCUGCCCUUGACUUCGGGAUAACUUCAGGAAACUGGGGCUAAUACCGGAUAGGAAUCCUUGCUGCAUGGUGGGGGUUGGAAAGCUUCGGCGGUUUUGGAUGGACUGGCGGCUUAUCAGCUUGUUGGUGGGGUAGUGGCUUACCAAGGCUUUGACGGGUAGCCGGACUGAGAGGGCGACCGGCCACAUUGGGACUGAGAUACGGCACAGACUCCUACGGGAGGCAGCAGUGGGGAAUAUUGAAAAAUGGGCGGAAGCCUGAUGCAGCAACGCCGCGUGCGGGAUGACGGCCUUCGGGUUGUAAACCGCUUUCAGCAGGGGCGAAGCUUGUGGUGACGGUACCUGCAGAAGAAGCACCGGCUAACUACGUG